rnacentral:rRNA from 3 species
GUUGUAUGGUUAAGUGACUAAGCGUACACGGUGGAUGCCUUGGCAGUCAGAGGCGAUGAAGGACGUAUUAACUUGCGAUAAGCCCAGAGAAGGUAGUAAAAACCGGUGACUCUGGGAUUUCCGAAUGGGGAAACCCACGUGCAUAAGCACGUAUCAUAGUGUGAAUACAUAGCACUAUGAGGCGAACCGGGGGAACUGAAACAUCUAAGUACCCCGAGGAAGAGAAAUCAACCGAGAUUCCGGUAGUAGCGGCGAGCGAAACCGGAUUAGCCCUUAAGCUAGUUUUGCGUUAGGUGAAAGUUCUG